rnacentral:misc_RNA from 1 species
CCGAGCACCACAGCAAGCAGGUCCCCUGCAGCCCUUUCGCUUCCGCUCCCCAGCCCAUCUUUUUUCUCUGUUUGUUUUUCUGUUCUCCCCUACGGUCUCUCACCAUCUCUCCCGUUAGAAGUGCGCCCGCUGCGUGUUGCUGCUGACGCUCCCCACUCAUCUUGCACCGUCGAUCCACAACUAAGCCACUGCGUGCCUGGCGUCGAGGAUGGCCGCCCGCGCGCUAAAGCUGUACGUGUCGGCAACGUGCCCGUUCUGCCACCGCGUGGAGAUCGUCGCACGGGAGAAGCAGGUCUCAUACGAUCGCGUUGCUGUUGGGCUGCGCGAGGAGAUGCCGCAAUGGUACAAGCAGAUUAACCCACGUGAGACAGUGCCGACGCUGGAAGUCGGCAAUGCGGAUAAGCGGUUUAUGUUCGAGUCGAUGCUGAUCGCGCAGUACCUGGACAACAGUGGCGCGCCCGCGGGCGCGCUGAUGGGUUCCUCGGCGGCGCAACGGCACCAGAUUGAGUUCUUCCUCGCACAGGUCGGCGAUUUCAUUGGCGCUGCGCACGGGCUGCUCCGCGAUCCGCUGAGUGGUGAAAAGCGCAAGGCCAUGGAUGACAACGCGGCGUACGUGGACGGGCUGCUCGCGGCGAACCAGACGACGGGGCCAUACUACUGCGACGGCGAGUUCACGAUGGCGGACGUUGCGCUUGUGCCGUUCCUGGUGCGGCUGAAACCUGCUCUGAUGUACUACGCCGGGUACGACGUGUUCUGCAAGGCGCCACGGAUGAAGGCGCUGUGGGCCGCUGCUGCGCAACGCGCGUCUGUGCGUGAGACUUCGCCGACGGCGGCGCAGUGCAUCGAGAACUACCGCCACCUGGUGCCGGAGAGCGCGCCAAUGAUGGGCGCCAAUGGUGGGCACGUCCUGUACAGCAAUCUUUUCUGUCCUUUUGUGGACCGCGCACGCCUCGCGUCUGAGCUGCGCAAGUUCCAGAUGCACAUAGUGGAGGUGCCGCUGCAUCCACAGCCGGAGUGGUACAAAUAUAUCAAUCCCCGCGAUACGGUGCCUGCGCUGUUUACACCGAGCGGCGAGGCUGUACACGAGUCGCAGCUGAUUGUUCAGUACAUCGACUGCGUGGCGACGAAGGGUAGUGCGCUGGUGCCGCGUGGGGACGCGGAGAAGGAGUACGAGGUGGGUUUCUUCGUGGAAAACGCUGGGUAUUUCGUUGGAGGACUGAUGUCGUGGAUCAUCCGUGGUGGCGAGGAUGCGAAGGCUGAGCUUCAGUGGGCUGCUGGCGAGCUCGAGCAGCAGCUGGCGAAGCACCCGUUUGGUGAGGGCCCCUUCUUCGGCGGCAAGCGGAUGAACGCUGGCGAUGUGGCUAUUCUACCUUUCCUGGUCCGCGCAAAGGCGUUUAUGCCGGAGUUUAGUGGUGGGUACGAUCUCUUUGCCCACUUUCCGCUGCUGAAUGGGCUGGCAGAGGCUGGCAUGGCGACACCGGAGGCGAAGUCGGUGUUUCGUACACUGGAGGAGUACAAGGAGCACAUCCGUAAGCGUCAACGGAGGGCCCAGAGCGGGUAAAGGCUCGUCGAGGGGAUCGACGUGCCGACCAUGCGAGGCUAUUUGUUUUUGAGCUGCGCAUCUGAUCAUGCAUGUCUCUGUGCCGAUCUCUGUGAUUAUCUCUGUGAGCGGUGUGCUCUACCAAAGCGGAUUUCGGCUGCGAGGCUGCCAUCGGCUCCAAAAUCGCACGUUAGUCGUAGUUUGUCUUCCUAAAACUGAAGCGCAUGCACACCAACGCGAGUGAGGUUGGGCGGAGAUGGGGAAGGUACCACCUGAGGGCGAGUAGCGGAGAAGCGUGUCGUCUUGGGCGCCGUUCUGUGUCUCGUAGCGACUUGUAUGCUCAUGUGAUGCGAGGUUUUGUUUUCUUUUUUGAACUGUUAUCGUGUUCACUGCCGGUUCGCGGGCCUCAUGUUCGGCAACGUUCUAGUUUUUUUCGCUGCUGUGGGACGUGGGCGACUGCGGCAAAGCAUGUCGUCGUGCUGAGCUUUUUUCGCGUAUGCUCAACUUUCCGCGAGUGUGUGGCGGACAUGCACUUUGGUAGUCUCGCGUGUUUGCGUCGAGGUGUCGUGCGGGGCAACGUGAGUGUUGGUGAAGUCGAAUGACGCGCCCGUUGCCAGCUAGUUGCCGCACGCCAGGUGCCGCUCGCGUAUGCGCUAGUUUUUACACGACGCCGGCGGCGCGUGCAUUGUGCCUGCCGGUUUUAUUUCCUCUGUAUUUCUUUCGUCUUGUUUCCCCUCAUGUCACCGUCCCCCAGCUGCCCUGCGCACACCUCCCCCACACUUCCGUGAGCGACCUGACUCACCCCUUCCCUCUCUCUCUGUGGAUUACGCCCUGCUUCACGUCCCGCCACGUGCGGGGGCCGUAUGUGCUUGGUGCAGGCGGUCUGUUGUGAGAGUGAUGUACGGCUGCACUCACCAGCGCGGAGGAGGAGGGUGUGGGCUUGCAAUGCUUCUUUUUCUUUGAAUAUUCUCGAUUUUGUGUGCCGUUUUAUCAGCACAGGCACAGAGGACUACUACAUUCCCUCCCUCCCCCUCUCUCCACACAAAUGGGGAAGGCUCGUGGCGGUGGGCACAUCAUUUGCUGGUGUCGUGCUCACGCGUGCAUGUAUGUGCCGGUGCGCUUGCCCGCUUGUUUUUACCUCUGGUGGCGAGGGCUGUCUGCGACGUGGCUUUCAAAAGCGUUGCUGAUGCCCCUGCACCACUUUCCUCUCAUAGAGACCGGGAGUGUGGCGCACGACCAGUAAGAG